AGUCCUGCCCAGUGAAUUAAGGUUUAAACGGCCGCGGUAUUCCUGACCGUGCAAAGGUAGCAUAAUCACUCGCCUUUUAAUUGGAGGCUUGUAUGAAUGGAUAAACGAGGGACCAACUGUCUCAAAAAAUAAAUAAAAUUUAUCAAUCAGGUGAAGAUUCCUGAAUCAAAUUAAAAGACAAGAAGACCCUAUAGAGUUUUACUUUAACAUUAACAAAUUUAUGACAUUAAGACCUAAAUACAUAAAUAUAAAGUUUGGUUGGGGCGACUAGGGAAUAAUUAGACCUUCCCUAAACAAAAGAGAACCUCUCUAUAAUAUGAUCCUAAUAGGAUAAAAGAAAUUACAUUACCUUAGGGAUAACAGGCUAAUCUCCCCAGAGAGCCCAAAUUGACGGGGAGGGUUGGCACCUCGAUGUUGGCUUAAGACACCUACUAGAUGCAGCAGUCUAGAAAGUUGGUUUGUUCAACCAUUAAAGUCUUACGUGAUCUGAG
rnacentral:rRNA from 1 species